rnacentral:lncRNA from 1 species
GAAAAGCUAAAAACUCAUUUUGAACAACCAAAAAUAAAAACCAAAUUGGAAAAGCAAACCAAAGUGGAAAAGCCCUCAAAUCUUGCCAAUAACUCACUUAGAAAAGGCAUGCAUCACACUUUUUGAAUAAAAAUACCAAAACUACGAUAACAUUAUGUAGUUCAAUUCUUUACUUAUUUGCUUAAAGUGAAAAAAAAGUAAUAUCCCAAAUGAAACUAUAAUGCCAUCUUUAACGAGAUAUUGUGAUAACCAAAAAGAAAAAUGAAGUACACUUCAUUAAUAAGAAAAACACAUUCAAGGGCAUAAAACUUGAAUAAUGCACAUCCACUUCCUAAAAUUGUGAUAAAACUUGAAGAACGAAAAAAAAAAUAUUAUAGCAAUAAUUAAACUAAAUUGCUUAGAAUAUGUUUAAUUUCUUCACCAUCUUCGUGUUUGCUCCUAGUAUUCUGCACAGAAGUAGCUGAGUCAAAUUCAAAACCUGCAUCUGAGAAAUAUGAUUGAUUGAGAGUAAAGUCAAAUUCAGAAACUACAUGUUUGCAUCCAUACUGGAAGGAUUACCAAGAGAGGCACUAUUUAAUCCAAUUCCAGUUUUUAUUAUCCUACCUGAUACAAUUAUAUCAGAUCUGUUCACACACCUUUUGUAUAAUUAAACUUGAAACAUGUGACCAUGUUCAGGAAUACCACUACAAUAACAUAUGUAGUUUUAGACUUCUAGUCUUUAGUCAUUUGCUGAAAGUGAAACAAGUUGACCUCAAAUUGAAAAUAAAAUGCCAUUUAAUAUUGUGUACAUUCGAUUCUAUACAUUUCCAAGAAGAAAAACAACUCCAAACGUUAUUAGAUAAUCACAACAUUAAAGUACCAAAUGACAACUAAAGGAUCAUGACUACAAGCUGGAUUGAGGCUUUGAAACUGUUGUUUAUCUCGUUUUCUCUGAUUUGGACGAAUUUACCCCCAAAGAUAAUUAGCUUUUUUCAAGUAGAUUAUUACUGGUUCAGACGUUCUUUUCUUAAAUCAUGGCAGAUUGUUGGUAUUUUUUACUCUGUUUUGGACGGUUUUGACCCUUGAUAGAUUUGGUUAUUACUGAUAAUGAAAUGAUUUUGAAAGAUUGGUGGUUGUUGGGAUGCCUUCGAGAUUCAAACCCACGAGGGCUUAAUCCUCUGGACAAAUGUUUAAGAAACUAGGAAGUAGAACAAGAAAGUCCUAAAAAAUACACCGAUUGAGAGAUUUGCAUAAAUUUUGAGAUAAAACUGUUUUGGGCUAAUUUUAUACAAGGAUACAACCCGACAUCCCAAAUAGCCAAGCAGAUAAAACUCUUCGGACUCGGUUAGGUCAAUUACUUCAUAUAUCGAGAUGAAUAUUGUUUAACGGGAUGGAAGUAAAAACUCCAUAUGGAGAAUCCUAGGCCAAAUUCAGUUGCAUAAACACUUUACCUCCACUACUCCACUGAGACAGGAACCAAUUUAGGGCAGAGCUGGGAAGAACACGGUGAUCUUGGAAACAUAAUCUCCCGGAAAAAAAACUUGUCAAGAUCCAACACGAAGAAUGAUUAUCUGAAAAAAAAUGAGUUGAAAUUGAAUGAAGGAGGAGUUUGAAGAAAAACACAAUGAUGGAUAAGGAAGGAAACCAGUAUUGCAGAAGAGGGAAGAGAAGCAAAUUUUGGGAAGUUGAUUUGGAUGGAACAAAUAUGUGAUUCGUAAAAAGAAAAAAAACACAUUUAAUUGAUAAUAUAUACGUAUGGCAUUUUUAUUUGUAAAAA